AGAUAUUUGUCACAGUCAUGGCUAUAUUUAGCAAGCUAUUGCUUAAGUGUAAAAGUUAGUUAUACUUUAACUAUGAAAUAGAAGAACAAAAAUCAUAUUCUUUCAUUUUAGGUUGUUUGCUGAACACUAUUCUUCCUUUCUUCAUUUGCAACGGUACUCCCAGAUAUUUUAAGUGAAUAAAGUUGCAGCCUAAUUGAACUACAUCCAUUGGUUCCUGAAGUUUUCCUGGAGUGGACAAAGUGCACGACCCUGAUUUUUGCAGCUUACGUUAUAACUGUGGGAGAAGAGGGCAAGAGAGACACGUGGGAGUAUGCCAUUGGGACUUCUUACCUGGCACAGGUUUAAGUUACUUGCUGACUCAGAGUCCAUGCAUAUGGAUGUCUGGUGUUGCAACAGCUUAGCUUUUAUAUUGCCAAAUGAACAAUGCAGCCAGUGGUGCAGCUGUGUAUGUCUACUCUGUAAUCGCAGUACGUGCUUGCAGUUUGUGCCUACAGACCCAAGUUAGCUUUAAUCUAGCAGUGGAUACUGCAGCAGGGAAGCUGUGGCAGCAUUGACUUCAGCAGAAGCAGUACAAACCUGCCUGGAACCCCAGGUAACCACUGGAGCAGCUAGCCCAUGGUGAACCCCCCCCUGCUGCUGUGGUUUUGCUGCUCUGGUGCUUGAGAUAUCUAGAUUAAAGCUAGAGAGAUUAAAGAUUUCAGCUCAUUAAGAACCACAUCCAGUGUGCCUCAGGUCACCUGGUGGUUCUGUUAGUUUCCCACAGAUUCUUGAGAUACACUAUCAGAUUCCAGGUAAAGCAUCAAAUUAUAAUUAAUGUGAAUGUAUGUGAGCAUGUGUAUAUAUACACAUACGUAAA